UUGCAUUACAUGGUGCUUGAAUUUUAUUGGUUUUUAAAUCGGUUUGAGGAAAGGUAUUUGGGAAUUUAAAAAUUUUUUUUAAGAGAGGAGAAGAUUGAGAAUAAUUAUUUUGAGAAGAGAAAGUUUCCAAAGUCGCUUAAACGGUAUCUAACUUCACAAUCAUAUUAAGUUAAAUUCAUAUUAAUUAUCGUUUUUACUCCACUUUUUAUUAUUUUGACGAUAAAUUAAUAUAUGAUUUCUUAAUGCAUAUAUUCAUCAAAAUUUUAUAAUCAAAUUUGAUUUCUUUGUGAUUAAUUCAUCUUGGUUGUGAGUGUUGGAUAUGAUGAAUGGAUAUUCACUAAUUGACUAAGAUUUGUCAAAAUUAUUUUCAAUUCUGAGAUUGUCUAAUUUAGGGGGAGUUUUUGAAAAAAAAGGAAAAAGAUACUCCUAUGUUUAAAAGAUGUGGAAAGAGUUACAUCCAAAAGUAGUGUGAAAACUACCACCACAUGUAGGAAAGAGCUACCACACCGGUUGUCCGGCAAGUGUGUGAAGCUACCACAUGGAGAUUAAUUGAAAAGCCGAAAAGGUUGAAAUUUUUUUUUGAAAAUUUUAGAAUUUUCGGAGUUAUAAGGUGUUAGUUUGAAAAAGAUGCUCAAAGAGCCACCCCCGAUAUCAUAUUAGUUAAAUCUCUAUUUUGAACGUAUUGCGACAAAUUGGUGUCAAUUUUGCCGAAUUUCUAAAUAUCAUUUUUCAUCAACUUACAUCUUGAUGGUUUUGAAUCAUUAGAUUAUUUUCGAUAACAAAUUUUGAUGUUUCGAUGUAUUUUGAAAUCUUAUAAUAAUUUAUUUUCAUCAUAAUGAUUUUUGGAGUACAAUCUUUAAUUUUUAUGACAUUAAUUUUAUUAUGAAGCAUUUUGAGGCAAAAUUUUCAAAUUCUGGCAUACAAGUUUUAGUACCGCACGACAAAAUUUGUUAAACGGUUCAAUCAUUUGUUUCUCUCCAAAAUACGUAAUCAAAUCGCUCUCUUUCACUCUCUAAAAAUUUUUAUAUGAUUUCUACUAUGUUUUUCUCUUUAUAUACUUUAUCUUUGGCAAUUUUUGACAAAAAGGGGGAGAGCAUAGAUGAACAGGGGGAGAGCAUAGAUAAACAGGCAUUGAACUAAGCAGAGGAUGAUGAGUUCAAGAACAAAGGGGGAGAUGUGAUCGAGAUGUGAACAAAGGGGGAGAAGGUAUAAGAAUUUAAGGUUAAUCAUUUUUUUUUGAAGUCUUGUUUUUGUAGGAAAUCAAGACUUCAAGACUCCUAAUUGCGUCUAAGUCAUAGAGUCUAUUUUAGGAGUUUUUGUUGUAAUUUUUGAGUUUCAAAUUGUAUUUGAAUUACACGCGAGGAGUUCAAUGUUUUGGUGAUGACAAUUGAACUUCGAAUCUUUUAUGUAUUUUUGAGUUUUGUGAGUUUUGUCACGAAAUUGCCAAAGGGGCAGAUUGUUAAGAAUUUUGUAUUGGCAAGUUUCGUGAAGUGAGUCGGAGUCUUGAAGGAUCGAAGCGGAUUGACGAAGAUUGAAGAAUUCAAGAUUUCGAAGAUUUUGGAAAGUAG
rnacentral:lncRNA from 1 species